UACGUAGGGGGCGAGCGUUGUCCGGAUUUAUUGGGCGUAAAGAGCGUGUAGGCGGCCAGGUAGGUCUGCUGGGAAAUCUCCGGGCUUAACUCGGAACGGUCAGCUGAUACUGCUUUGCUAGAGUGCGGAAGGGGCAAUCGGAAUUCUCGGUGUAGCGGUGAAAUGCGUAGAUAUCGAGAGGAACACCUGAGGUGAAGACGGGUUGCUGGGCCGACACUGACGCUGACAGCGCGAAAGCCAGGGGAGCAAACGGG
rnacentral:rRNA from 1 species